UGGGGAAUAUUGCACAAUGGGCGCAAGCCUGAUGCAGCCAUGCCGCGUGUGUGAAGAAGGCCUUCGGGUUGUAAAGCACUUUCAGCGAGGAGGAAGGUGGUGAGCUUAAUACGCUCAUCAAUUGACGUUACUCGCAGAAGAAGCACCGGCUAACUCCGUGCCAGCAGCCGCGGUAAUACGGAGGGUGCAAGCGUUAAUCGGAAUUACUGGGCGUAAAGCGCACGCAGGCGGUUUGUUAAGUCAGAUGUGAAAUCCCCGGGCUCAACCUGGGAACUGCAUUUGAAACUGGCAAGCUAGAGUCUCGUAGAGGGGGGUAGAAUUCCAGGUGUAGCGGUGAAAUGCGUAGAGAUCUGGAGGAAUACCGGUGGCGAAGGCGGCCCCCUGGACGAAGACUGACGCUCAGGUGCGAAAGCGUGGGGAGCAAACAGGGUUAGAUACCCUGGUAGUCCAGCGCUGUAAACGAUGUCGAUUUUGGAGGUUGUGCCCUUGAGGCGUGGCUUCCGGAGCUAACGCGUUAAAUCGACCGCCUGGGGAGUACGGCCGCAAGGUUAAAAC
rnacentral:rRNA from 1 species